UACGUAGGGUGCGAGCGUUAAUCGGAAUUACUGGGCGUAAAGUGUGCGCAGGCGGCCGUGCAAGUCGAGUGUGAAAGCCCCGGGCUUAACUUGGGAAUUGCGCUCGAAACUACGUGGCUAGAGUGUGGCAGAGGGAGGUGGAAUUCCACGUGUAGCGGUGAAAUGCGUAGAGAUGUGGAGGAACACCGAUGGCGAAGGCAGCUCGCUGGAACGGUACUGACGCUGAGGCGCGAAAGCGUGGGGAGCGAACAGG
rnacentral:rRNA from 1 species